rnacentral:misc_RNA from 1 species
GGCCUCCUCUGCCGUUGGCGGUUAUGGUGGGCAGGCCUCCUCCUCCGCCGCCGCUAGCUCUCUUCUGGGUAGUGAAGUUCUCUUGCCCCAUAUUAAAGUUAACUCCGUCAAAUUAUAGACUCAGAUGUGACAAUCAGAGAGAGAGACACACACAAUUUCUCUCUCUUCUGUUCGAGUAGUAUUUUAGCGUGUGGAUCUGGAAGGCAUUUAAUAAUAAUAAUAACAGUUAAAAGAAUUGUAUUCUCUCAGCUGUGAAAGGCUUGGAAGCGGAGGAAAAAUG